ACAUCCCCCUAAUCCCUCCCCCUCCCCUUCUUUAUGGAUGUUCCCCUCCCCACCCUCCCCCCAUUGCCGCCCUCCCCCCAACAAUCACGUUCACUGGGGGUUCAGUCUUAGCAGGACCCAGGGCUUCCCCUUCCACUGGUGCUCUUACUAGGAUAUUCAUUGCUACCUAUGAGGUCAGAGUCCAGGGUCAGUCCAUGUAUAGUUUUUAGGUAGUGGCUUAGUCCCUGGAAGCUCUAGUUGCUUGGCAUUGUUGUUCAUAUGGGGU
rnacentral:lncRNA from 1 species